rnacentral:tRNA from 1 species
GCCUGGGUGGCUCAGUCAGUUGAGCAUCUGACUUUGGCUCAGGUCAUGAUCUCGUGGUUCAUGGGUUCAUGCCCCGCCUAGGGCU